rnacentral:rRNA from 1 species
UACGUAGGUGGCUAGCGUUGUCCGGAUUACUGGCGUAAAGAGCGCGCAGGCGGUCGUUCAAGUCGAGUGUGAAAGCCCCCGGCUCAACUGGGGAGGGUCACUCGAUACUGAUCGACUCGAAGGCAGGAGAGGGAAGCGGAAUUCCCGGUGUAGUGGUGAAAUGCGUAGAUAUCGGGAGGAACACCAGUGGCGAAGGCGGCUUCUUGGCCUGUCCUUGGUA